CCCCCUCCUCUCCCCUCCCCUCUUUCUACCCAAUCUGCUGUGACAUGUUUCUCAUUUUUCUUCCCCCUCACACCAUCUUAUAUGUAAUUUUGCAUAACAAUGAGGGGCUCCUACCAUCUUCUGUGCAAUUCCCCUUCUCUCCCAUUCCCACGCACAUAUCAUCCCUAUUUAAUGGUAAUCUUCUCAUGCUCUUCCUCCCUGCUCUGUUUUGAGUCGCUCCCCUUAAAGAAUACAUUCUGCAUGUGUUUUUUAGGGAUUGGCUAGCUUUACUUAGCAUAAUCUGCUCUAAUGCCAUCCAUUUCCCUGCAAAUGCCAUGAUUUUGUUGUUUUUUAGUGCUGAGUAAUAUUCCAUUGUGUAUAAAUGCCACAUUUUUUUUAUCCAUUCAUCUAUUGAAGGGCAUCUGGGUUGGUUCCAAAGUCUAGCUAUUGUGAAUUGUGCUGCUAUGAACAUCGAUGUAGCUGUGUCCCUGUUGUAUGCUCUUUUUAGGUCAUUUGGGUAUAGUCCGAGAAGGGGAAUAGUUGGGUCAAAUGGUGGUUCCAUUCCCACCUUUCCAAGGAAUCUCCAUACUGCUUUCCAAAUUGGCUGAACCAAUUUGCAGUCCCACCAGCAAUGUACAAGUGUACCUUUUCCCCACAUCCUCGCCAGCACUUAUUAUUGUUUGACUUCAUAAUGGCUGCCGUUCUUUCUGGAGUGAGAUGGUAUCUUAGAGUGGUUUUAAUUUGCAUUUCUCUGAUUGCUAGAGAUGGUGAGCAUUUUUUCGUGUAUUUGUUGAUUGAUUGUAUAUCCUCCUCUGAGAAGUGUCGAUGUUCAGAUCCUUGGCCCAUUUGUUUUUUUUUGUUUGUUUGUUUGUUUGUUUUUAAAGAUAGAGUGAAAGAGGGAGGGAGAGAGAGAGAGAGAAUUUUUAAUAUUUUUUUUCAGUUUUCGGCGGACACAACAUCUUUCUUUGUAUGUGGUGCUGAGGAUCGAACCCGGGCCGCAUAAAUGCCAGGCGAGCGCACUACCGCUUGAGCCACAUCCCCAGCCCCUUGGCCCAUUUGUUGAUUGGGUUAUUUGUUUUCUUGUUGUUUAAUUUUUUGAGUUCUUUGUAUACUCUGGAGAUUAGAGCUCUAUCUAAAGUGUGAGGGGUAAAUAUUUGUUCCCAGGAUGUAGGCUCCCUAUUUACCUCUCUUAUUGUUUCUCUUGCUGAGAAAAAACUUUUUAGUUUGAGUAUGUCCCAUUUGUUGAUUCUUGAUUUUAACUCUUGUGCUAUAGGUGUCCUAUUAAGGAAUUUGGAGCCCAACCCCACGAGAUGGAGAUUAGGGCCAACUUUUUCUUCUAUUAGACGCAAACUUUCUGGUUUGAUUCCUAGCUCCUUGAUCCAUUUUGAGUUAACUUUUGUGCAAGGUGAGAGAAAGGGAUUCAAUUUCAUUUUGUUGCAUAUGGAUUUCCAGUUCUCCCCGCACCUUUUGUUGAAGAUGCUAUCCUUUCUCCAUUGCAUGCUUUUGGCUCCUUUGUCUAAUAUAAGGUAGUUAAUUUUGUGGAUUGGUCUCUGUGUCCUCUAUUCUGUACCAUUGGUCUACCUGCCUGUUUUGGUACCAUUACCAUGCUGUUUUUGUUACUGUUGCUCUGUAAUAUAGUUUAAA
rnacentral:lncRNA from 1 species